rnacentral:rRNA from 1 species
UACGUAGGUGACCAGCGUUGUCCGGAUUUACUGGGCGUAAAGAGCGCGCAGGCGGUCGUUCAAGUCGAGUGUGAAAGCCCCCGGCUCAACUGGGGAGGGUCACUCGAUACUGAUCGACUUGAAGGCAGGAGAGGGAAGCGGAAUUCCCGGUGUAGUGGUGAAAUGCGUAGAUAUCGUAAGGAAGACCAGUGGCGAAGGCGGGUCUCUGGACAGUUCCUGACGCUGAGACGCGAAAGCUAGGGGAGCAAACGGG